AACCUGGUCAGAUUCCACUUCUGGUACCUUUGUGGUAAUGGGCAUUAAACUCCAGCCAUGCCAUGCUUCAAAUAAUUUAUUCUCGGCAGGCUUUCGACCAUGAUUUUCCACUUACCUCAGCCUGCUCUGUGGUUUCAAGGGGGUGGAUGUGUGCAUGAACAUCUGUUGGAUGAUGCCAGAUAGGCAUUAGGUAGCAGCUCUACAUAUUUCUUACUGACCUCACUGUUUGCCAGUAGACUCUGUUUAUAAAGAGUUUCAAAGGCUCCAUGUUUCUAGUAAGAGGAGCAAAAAUAAACUGUGGAAGAAUUACCACUGAGGACAUUCAGGCAAGGAGGCUGCCUCCUCAUCCAUAGAAGGCUUAGCUCUUGUCGUAAUGACUGUGGGCAUGCAGUGAUGUUCACAAAGAAGCCUUAGAAAGGCCUCUAUUUCAAACUGUGAUGUUUGCAGAAAUGGAUGUACUGUAGCUACAUCCUUUCAUCUAUAAACUGUCUUUGAUGGGGGUAUAGUUGGCAAGAGAGAACAUCAUGAGAGGAGCUCAGAGCUUAGGGUUGAAGGAUGUCUUUUGGAAAGCUCAACCCAGCUGUGAAAACGGCAAUUAGCCAUGGAGCAAUUGCUCUGCAAGGCAGUGCCUGCCUGCUCCUGACCCCGCUUUCAGGCUCACCUUCCCAAGCCGAGGAGGCAGGAAUUCAAUGGGGUGGUCAUAGAGCUGCCUCUUAUUUUUGGAGAGGCGGCAGAUUCGCUCAGCCUACAAAGGAGUGGAAAUAGAUUCCCCCACCCCUACCUUUUGAGCUCCUAGUGUUUGUCCGUGUUGCCACUACAGACCCUGUUAAUAGCACACAGUUCCUGCCUGAGGGGUGAAGGGUGUCUUCCAUGAGGAGGCCCCUCUGCAGAACUGGUUCUCCUGUGAGCUUCCUGAGAUGCUGCUCAAUGUCAGCCUUAGUCUCUGGCUUUGGUUUCUGUGUCCCAAGAUGGUUUGGCCCUCACCUGAGCAUUUGCCUCCCUGUAUUAAGGUUCUUGCUUUCUUUCAUAUGGACCACGAGAUGAAUUCCUCUGUGAUGGGGACAUUCAUGUUGGCUGGUGAGAGUCUAACAAACAUCUGUGUUGAGCUUUUGCUCCCAAGGACUCGGGGUGUUUUGCUCAGGAUCUCUUGUCAUUGGCACAUUCUUUCUGUAACUAAGGAACAGGCAGGUAUUACAGAAUUUCCCAUCCAGAGGUGAGAAAAUUGGGGCAGAGGAAGAUUAAGCAAGACUCUGAAUUUUUACUUUUCGACUGUCUCCAGUUUAGGUAGGAGACACUGAGGCAGAAGCUGAAGGUCAUAGCUGGGACUCAUCUCCUCUUUCUGGGCCUUGGUUUUCUCAUCUGAAAGAAAACUGGGCUGUGCUAGGUCUCCUUAAGGUCAUAAUGUUUGUGGUAGUCACAUCAUACGAGGCGCUGAAAUCAGGCACAGCUGGAGAAAGAUGAGAAAGUCCCUGUCUCUGAGUCUCCUUCUGUCAUCAGUGGAAAGGAGUUAAUAAUACCUAGGUAAGGGCAGGCCUGUGGGCUCUCUGUCCCAGGGUCUGGCACAUAGUACUGACCCAACAAGUGCUCUUUCCUUCCCUAUUUCCAGCCAUUCUUCCUCCCAUUAAAAAUAGUACAGAUGGGCCAAUGCCUUUUUUAACAUCGCUGGUCUCUCUAGGAUCUCAGUGAUUCUGAUGGAAGGUGGGCCCAGGGCGAGGGCUGACCAUGUAACAUGGUAUUCCUCUGCCCAUCCCACAGAGCAGCUCUCUUGAAGUCACUUAUACUUGGAAGUGGGGCAGCAAUAUCCAUUGUCCCCAGAAACUCAGGCUCCUUUAACAUCCUUGGAGUUUGCUUGACUUGUUCACACAAAUGUCCAACCCCUUCCCUUUCUUUCUGGUCUUACUUGUGACUUCUCUUAAGUUUUUCCAGCACACGGUUAUUUUUCCUUAAGAGCCAGAAUUAGGCACAUAUACUGUAAUACAUUGCUGGUUUCUACACCUGCUUUUUCUGCCUUACCUGAUGACUGAGCUUACAGCAGCUUAUGAGAGUGAAUCAGGUUUUAUGAGAUCUAUAAAUAUCUCUGAUAGGAUUUUUAUUUCAUUUUCCCCCUUCAAAUAAGACAUAAUGGAAGCACUCACGUACAUAGGGAAUAUUCUUUCUGUGAUAAAGUGGGUGUUUUUGAAUUGGCCUCUGAAAAAGCAAUGAUUUGAUGUGGUUGUUCAUGUUGGGAGUUUUAUGGGGGAGGGGGAAGAAUCUUGCAUAUGCUGCUAUAAAACUUUAAGAUUAUUUCCUCAUAUGGAAGGUUUAGCCCAACACCUAUCGAGAGAUUUAUUUCAGAGAUGCCAGCCUGUGUGCAGACUGCAUUUCCUCCUUCCGAGGAGUGUGUAUUUGUGUUUUCUUAGGCACAUGGAAGCCAGGGAGGAAAGUCCCAUUCCUGGCAGGAGAGGGGCUCCCAGCAAGAACGUUUCCAGUUCUUUGUCUUGUCUGCUUCCAGCUGCCCCCAGGGAGGCCGUGCGCACCCUUCCCUACACUUCAUGGAUUUCCUAGGAAGAUUUCACACUAGGUAAUAUAUCUCAAUGAGAUUUUUCCCCUCCCUUGGAGUUUCACUUUUUAAAAAAAGAGUCUUAAGCUUAUCCAAUUUUUAAAAAAAUGUACACUCACCAUUACCAAGCAUAGAAAGGAUUUUUCUUACCUUGCUCUUUGAGGAGUACCUGAAAGAACCUUGAGCAUAUAACUUUAAAGAAUCCAUUAAAAAAAAAAAAGUGUAAGAGUUCUGUGUACCUCAUUUUUCCUCUCUGGAAAAUGGAAGUCAGGAGCUCCAUUUGCCAUCUUACUCAGGACCAUUGUGACAGAGUUAAUUAUGGAUUUAACAAUUAUUUGUGAAAAAUCGAAUAUCUGACUCUGCUUUGGUUUUUUUCACAACCUUUUCUGGCAUACAUCUUCCCCCAGUUCUCAUUACCUUUGUGUUUUAACUAGAUGAUAAUGUAAUUUAACCUCUGAAAGAAUAAACUGUGUCAAUUUAGUACACCUGAUCCAAAGGCAUGAAGGAUUUUUGCUUUAAUGUCAUUUAAUUUUUUCUAUUGAACGUCAUCUCAGUGUGUAACAUAACCCUGGUGUUUUGGCUCUCCUGCAUACACACAACUCCUGCUCCGUGCCUAUCAUCAAAUGACGUGACUUCUCUGGUCCUCAGUUUCGUCAUGGGUGUACAGUAGGGUAGAGUCAGGAACAGUCAGAUGACCAGAGAUUACAAACAAGAAGCUCCUAGGCAAACUGGCUUCACGAGCUAUUUGUUUGCCCAGCAUACUUACUACAAUUUUCUUUUUAAUUGGAAUGCUUUUAGACAGAUCAUGUAUUCCUCAAUGAACUGUAUCCCCGCUAUUUCUACCUCGGUUUAUUUCUGAUCCCUGGCCAGGUAAGCAUGCAUUUGGCCUGGUGACCCCCAGACCGGCAGCUCUCUGAGUUACCUUCCCCUCCAAAAUGCUAUGGUGUGUGGACAGCCUUUAUUUCUUCUUCAGUCUCAAGCCAGCUUGAUUUCAACCCUCUACCCAGAAUCCACUUUCAUUUCUUUGUAGAUUUCUCGGCCUUGUUGAAUGUCUUUGUUUGGGAUUCUCUUUUAUAAAGCAGCUUCCAAAUUGCAUCUCAAUUUCUCCUCGUCAUCCAGGUUCUGUUGUAGAUCAUCGAAAUCUGGGAUGGAAAAGACCAUCUGCUUUCCCCACUCCCCGCCUGGGCUGAGCAGUUGCUGCAGAGCGUGUUUAUUCCUUAUUGGUAUUUGCAACAUUUUCCAAUUUGGAAACUGACUCUAAGUUUCCUAAGCUUGCAGCCUCUUCUUGGUGGAAGUGGGAGUAAAAUGGGACAAUACCAAACAAAAAGUCCUUUUGGUCAGACAGCCCUCAUUAACAAAUGCCUGCCAUUGUCACGGUUUCUUUUGUCACUCUGAGACCCAACUGGUCAGUGGUGGGAAAAACUCCUUUCUGUGGAAGAAAAACAUGUAACCAUUUCUGAGGUUUCUUAGUCUUGACAUAGAAGCAUGUGGUACAGAAUCCCAUUAAGUGCUUUAACUGCUUAUUUUUCGUGGCAGUGGACUUUAUAUGACUUGUUUCACUGAGGAAGUGAUGCUUUUUGUGUGAAGACCUCCAGGGCAUUAUAAUAAAGUACUGUCUUGAGAAUCAAGUAAUUUGCUUUCUUCCUACCCUUGGCACUCCAGUACUGCCAGCAAGCACUUGGCCUUCAUUUUCUAAUGCUUUCAGGAUGCUAUUCUACAUUAGGGGUGUUUAAAAAAAUGUAUUCUUUUGUCUUGGCUCCCUGAUAUUACUAAGGAUAUCAUUUAGGUUGACCAGAUGGUGAUUUUCAGGGUCAUUCUUUUCCCGUUAUAAAAGCUAGCCAGUCUUUUGAAUUGCUUGAUGCUGGGGGUUCCUCCUUUUUUCUCCAAUCUCCAAUUACUUUUUCUUUCUUUUUUUCCUUUUUAAAAAACUUCUGAGUGCUAAGUCAUUCUCUCGUUAACAUAUAUUUAUUAAUUUUUAAGUUAAUAGCUGUUUAUCUCACUGUGUGAAUUAGCUAUUAAAAUAUUUCUGAAAAAUAUCUCUAGAAAGGAGAAAAGAAAGAU
rnacentral:lncRNA from 1 species